rnacentral:rRNA from 1 species
AAUUGAAAACGAGUCCGGCACUCGUCGAGGGANGAUGGCGACGGAUCCGGCCCCUUUCGGGGGGUGUCGCAGAUCGGCCCGCACUCCCGGGGUGCCUCGUUCGCCAGCCGGCAACGGCCGACGAGAGGUGCGCCCAGAGCACACACGCUAGGACCCGAAAGAUGGUGAACUAUGCCUGACCAGGACGAAGUCAGGGGAAACCCUGAUGGAGGUCCGAAACGAUUCUGACGUGCAAAUCGAUCGUCUGAGUUGGGUAUAGGGGCGAAAGACUAAUCGAACUAUCUAGUAGCUGGUUCCCUCCGAAGUUUCCCUCAGGAUAGCUGGCGCUCGGAGGUGAAUGAGAACGAAUGAAUGAGUCUCUUCCGGUAAAG